rnacentral:rRNA from 1 species
AACGAACGCUGGCGGCAGGCUUAACACAUGCAAGUCGAACGCCCCGCAAGGGGAGUGGCAGACGGGUGAGUAACGCGUGAGAAUCUACCCAUCUCUGCGGAAUAGCUCUGGGAAACUGGAAUUAAUACCGCAUACGCCCUACGGGGGAAGGAUUUAUCGGGGAUGGAUGAGCCCGCGUUGGAUUAGCUAGUUGGUGGGGUAAAGGCCUACCAAGGCGACGAUUCAUAGCUGGUCUGAGAGGAUGAUCAGCCACUUGGGGACUGGGAAGCAGCCCAGACUCCUAGAGGAGGAGGCAAUGGUGAAUAUUGGACAAUGGCCGCAAGCCUGCUCCAACCAUGCCGCGUGAGUGAUGAAGGCCUUAGGGUUGUAAAGCUCUUUCCCCGAUGAAGAUAAUGACGGUAGUCGGAGAAGAAGCCCCGGCUAACUUCGUGCCAGCAGCCGCCGUAA